UAGAGGGGACCAGACCCCAUAAUUAUUUGGGGGUCGAGGGCAUGUCUGUGUUUUCUUGCAGGAGGAGAACGAGGUGCACUGGCUACCGGAAAGAUUGAUGAGAUGCAUGGAAACCGAGAAAAACGGGACCUGGGCCCACAGGAGACCGUCUGAAACAGCUGGAAGGAAACACUGGACCUGUGUUCCUGAACCUUGAGGACAUCCGACUAACAGCCGAGGGAGAAGGGAGACACACCCAGUUCCAGUUUCGAGAUGCUUUCCACAGUUCCAGCUUCCCUACAGUCGGAAUACAUUCACCUCUCUGAAUCCGAGAAGGUUUGCAGCCAUUAUAAGACCCCCAGAAGCUCAGGCCUCCAGAAUCUUUUCCCAGGACUGCGGCCACCCCAAUCAUCAUGAGGAGGCCGAAACUUGAUGCAAACAGCAAGAGGCUUUAAUGAAAGAGACUGGUUCCAGCCAAAGACGGGUACGGUUUUCCUUGCCUUCAGGGAAUCCUAAGACAGAACAUGCAUGAUGGAAUGCGUGAUUCCAUGACGGGCAUCCCUGGUAGGUUGAAGGGAACCUCUUAAAACAGGCACAGUCAUCUGUCCUGAUGCAGAAGCACAGGUUUCUUUUUAUUAAUUUAAGAGAGACAAAA